rnacentral:rRNA from 1 species
GACGAACGCUGGCGGCGUGCUUAACACAUGCAAGUCGAACGGAAAGGCCCUGCUUUUGUGGGGUGCUCGAGUGGCGAACGGGUGAGUAACACGUGAGUAACCUGCCCUUGACUUUGGGAUAACUUCAGGAAACUGGGGCUAAUACCGGAUAGGAGCUCCUGCUGCAUGGUGGGGGUUGGAAAGUUUCGGCGGUUGGGGAUGGACUCGCGGCUUAUCAGCUUGUUGGUGGGGUAGUGGCUUACCAAGGCUUUGACGGGUAGCCGGCCUGAGAGGGUGACCGGCCACAUUGGGACUGAGAUACGGCCCAGACUCCUACGGGAGGCAGCAGUGGGGAAUAUUGCACAAUGGGCGGAAGCCUGAUGCAGCAACGCCGCGUGCGGGAUGACGGCCUUCGGGUUGUAAACCGCUUUCGCCUGUGACGAAGCGUGAGUGACGGUAAUGGGUAAAGAAGCACCGGCUAACUACGUGCCAGCAGCCGCGGUGAUACGUAGGGUGCGAGCGUUGUCCGGAUUUAUUGGGCGUAAAGGGCUCGUAGGUGGUUGAUCGCGUCGGAAGUGUAAUCUUGGGGCUUAACCCUGAGCGUGCUUUCGAUACGGGUUGACUUGAGGAAGGUAGGGGAGAAUGGAAUUCCUGGUGGAGCGGUGGAAUGCGCAGAUAUCAGGAGGGACACCAGUGGCGAAGGCGGUUCUCUGGGCCUUUCCUGACGCUGAGGAGCGAAAGCGUGGGGAGCGAACAGGCUUAGAUACCCUGGUAGUCCACGCUGUAAACGGUGGGUACUAGGUGUGGGGUCCAUUCCACGGGUUCCGUGCCGUAGCUAACGCUUUAAGUACCCCGCCUGGGGAGUACGGCCGCAAGGCUAAAACUCAAAGGAAUUGACGGGGCCCCGCACAAGCGGCGGAGCAUGCGGAUUAAUUCGAUGCAACGCGUAGAACCUUACCUGGGUUUGACAUGGAUCGGGAGCGCUCAGAGAUGGGUGUGCCUCUUUUGGGGUCGGUUCACAGGUGGUGCAUGGCUGUCGUCAGCUCGUGUCGUGAGAUGUUGGGUUAAGUCCCGCAACGAGCGCAACCCUUGUUCACUGUUGCCAGCACGUUAUGGUGGGGACUCAGUGGAGACCGCCGGGGUCAACUCGGAGGAAGGUGGGGAUGACGUCAAGUCAUCAUGCCCCUUAUGUCCAGGGCUUCACGCAUGCUACAAUGGCUGGUACAGAGAGUGGCGAGCCUGUGAGGGUGAGCGAAUCUCGGAAAGCCGGUCUCAGUUCGGAUUGGGGUCUGCAACUCGACCUCAUGAAGUCGGAGUCGCUAGUAAUCGCAGAUCAGCAACGCUGCGGUGAAUACGUUCCCGGGGCU